rnacentral:tRNA from 1 species
GGGAAAGUAGCUCAGUUGGUAGAGCAGGUAAGAAAACCCAAAUUACUGUAUUGUAAUUUCACAGCAACCAUACUUCAUCCACUUUUAAUGGCCUGGUCGUUGGUUCAAAUCCAACCUUUCCCA